ACCGGGAGUAGUAGCACAUGCCUGUAGUCCCAGCUAGUCGGGAGGCUGAGGUGGGAGGAUCGCUUGAGCCCAGGAGUUCUGGGCUGUAGUGCGCUAUGCCAAUCAGGUGUCUGCACUAAGUUUGGCAUCAAUAUGGUGACCUCCCGGGAGUGAGGGACUGCCAGGUUGCCUAAGGAGGAGUGAACCGGCCCAGGUUGGAAAGGGAGCAGGUCAAAACUCCAAUGCUGAUCAGUAGUAGGAUCGCGCCUGGGAAAAGCCACUGCAUUCUAGCCUGGGCAAUGUAGUGAGACCUUGUCUCUA
ensembl:misc_RNA Metazoa_SRP Metazoan signal recognition particle RNA